GGGAUGACACAGUAGGAUAAGCUAAGCACACUGUUGGUUAUGUGUGCCCAAGCAUUGAGGCAGUCAAAGUAGGCAAAUCCGCUUUGAUAAUGCUGGGAUGUGAUGGGGAGCGAAAUUUAGUAGCGAAGUAGCUGAUUUCACACUGUCAAGAAAAGUCUCUAUCGAGGUUAAAGGUACCCGUACCGCAAACCGACACAGGUGGG
rnacentral:rRNA from 1 species